AUUUGCCCAGUAACCGGCAUUAAUUCGUUUAUCCCCAGCGAAACCUUUUUGGGCCUCUACCCAGUAACCGGUAGUUGUAAGUCCUAUGUUCCUUCUUCUUGAUGGAAUUUGUGGUUAUGUACCUUUUAUUCCUCAGCAAGAGUUGAUUCGGUUUUCUACCUAAUUUUCGGUAGUCGUAAAUCCUGAUUUUCGUAUUCUCCAGCAGAGUUUGUGGUUUGUUAUAAACCCUAUUUUGUUCCCGUGCGGAUUUGUG
rnacentral:lncRNA from 1 species